rnacentral:rRNA from 1 species
GACGUGAGGGCGCGAGCGUUGUCCGGAUUUAUUGGGCGUAAAGAGCUCGUAGGCGGUCUGUCGCGUCUGCUGUGAAAAUCAGGGCUCAACCCUGGACCUGCAGUGGGUACGGGCAGACUAGAGUGCGGUAGGGGAGAUCGGAAUUCCUGGUGUAGCGGUGAAAUGCGCAGAUAUCAGGAGGAACACCGGUGGCGAAGGCGGAUCUCUGGGCCGUAACUGACGCUGAGGAGCGAAAGCGUGGGGAGCGAACAGG